rnacentral:misc_RNA from 1 species
CAAGCCUUUAGGCGAUCUGUUUGCACAAGCCUCUGAGAGGGAUGAAGAUAUUGUUUUCUUUGAUCAGAUUAUGCCGGUAAAGGUUUUCUGGUUUACCCUAUAGGGCUUGUAGCUCAGUUGGUUAGAGCGCGCGCUUGAUAAGCGUGAGGUUGGAGGUUCAAGUCCUCCCAGGCCCACCAGUUACACGAUGCUAAAAGUUGCUAUAUUGGGAGAGUUGAUAAUCCCUUACAGGAAAUUAUUGCCCUUAAUAAAACUUUAUUUUCUAAAAGCAUUCAGAGCUGACAUAGAAUAGAGCUGACAUAGAAUUGAGAAUCUGACAUAGGAAUUAUUGAAAUUGUUUUGGAAUUAUUGAAAUUGUUUUCUAUCAUUUUAAAAGGCUAAAAUAUUCUGUCUCUAUUUUUAAAAUAGCAUCAGGUGUUUUGUAAGAGUGUGAAGUUUUUAAGUGUGAGGUUUUUUAUAUUUUAGUGUGAGGUUUUUAUAAGGGUAUGACGUGAGAGCGUUUUGACCUGUUUUAGGGGCCGUAGCUCAGCUGGGAGAGCACCUGCUUUGCAAGC